CCUGGCGGCAGUAGCGCGGUGGUCCCACCUGACCCCAUGCCGAACUCAGAAGUGAAACGCCGUAGCGCCGAUGGUAGUGUGGGGUCUCCCCAUGCGAGAGUAGGGAAC
rnacentral:rRNA from 4 species